AGUGUCGUUCGGGCGACCGCAAUCGGUGCAAACUGAUUGAGGAAAGUCCGGGCUCCACAGGGCACGGUGGUGGCUAACAGCCACCGGGGGCAACCCUAGGGAAAGUACCACAGAAAACAAACCGCCUAAGCGACUUCGGUCGCCGGCAAGGUUGAAAAGGCGAGGUAAGAGCUCACCGCGCGUCUGGUGACAGGCGUGGCAAGGUAAACCCCACCGGGAGAAAGUUCACAUAGAGAGGGAUGGCGCGGCUCGCGCCGCUUGACCUCUGGGUAGAGCGUUCGAGGUCGCCGGCAACGGCGAUCCUAGAGGAAUGGUCGCCCUCUCAAGUCUUUAUGGCUGGAGAGACAGAACCCGGCUUACAGAACGACACUCCAC
rnacentral:RNase_P_RNA from 1 species